CUUUUGAGUAUAAUUUAAGGUCUGGCCUGCCCACUGAGGAGUUAAAUGGCCGCGGUAUUUUGACCGUGCAAVGGUAGCAUAAUCAUUAGUUUUUUAAUUGAAAGCUGGAAUGAAAGGUUUGAUKAAAANAUAACUGUCUCUAUUUUAACUUUAUVGAAUUUUAUUUUUAAGUAAAAAAGCUUAAAUAUUUAUAGAAGACGAGAAGACCCUAUAGAGUUUUAUAUUUAUUUAUAAUAAGCUUUUUAGAAUUAUAAAUCUAAUUAUAAUUAAAUAUUUGGUUGGGGUGAUUGAAAAAUUAAAUUAACUUUUUUUUUAUUAAUACAUUUAUUUAUGAAUAUUUGAUCCUAAAUUBUAGAUUACAAGAUAAAAUUACCUUAGGGAUAACAGCGUAAUUUUUUUUAAGAGUUCUAAUCGAAVAAAAAGGUUGCSACCUCGAUGUUGGAUUAAAGUUAAUUUUUGGUGUAGAAGCUAAG
rnacentral:rRNA from 1 species